rnacentral:ncRNA from 1 species
GGUAUUGCGUGCAGGGUGAAUAUGUUGGCCUCCCGUGAGCUCUGUCUCGUGGUUGGUUGAAAAUUGAGACCUUGGUAAGGUGUGCCAUGGAAAGGGGCACCGGAGAGGGUGGGAGCCCCGUUGUGCUCGCACCACGAGGCAUUGUCCGCGAAUCGGGUUGUUUGGGAAUGCAGCCCCAAUCGGGUGAUAAAUUCCGUCCAAGGCUAAAUAUUGGUGAGAAACCGAUAGCGAACAAGUACCACGAGGGAAAAAUGAAAAGGACUUUGAAAAGAGAGUCAAAGAGUGCUUGAAAUUGUCGGGAGGGAAGCGGAUGGGGGCCGGCGGUUUGUGCCGGUCCGCCAAUCGGCUCGGGACAUUGACCGAUGCAGAUUGUGAUGGUGGCCCAAGCCUGGGUUGUUGAAAUGCUUGCGGAGACGUCAUCAUCACGAUUGUGGGCUACAACGUGCGCUGAUUCGGUGUGCUUCGGCACAUGCGCGCUCCUGGCGUCGGCCUGUGGGCUCCCCAUUCGACCCGUCUUGAAACACAG